rnacentral:lncRNA from 1 species
GAUGGGUGGCACCCCUCAAGAGGGAGUUAUUGAUCCUAUUGGAACUGCUCCAACAGUACGUCAAGAACCGAAUAUGGCCUAAUUGAUGCAAACCAUAAUAGAAGUGAUACAAAGGCAGCAACAAUUGCUUGAACAGCAACAGAUACCCCAAGAUACACCACAACAGCAUGGUCAUAGAAAGCAGCCAGUGCAGUGAAACAACAUCGUAGAAUUUAAAAAAAUAGCCCUUCCUGCUUUCAAGGGAACCAUUGAAUCUUUAGAAGCCGUCAACUGGAUAAGAGAGAUAGAAAAGGCCUUUGCUGUCCAAGAGUGUCGUGACGAAGAAAAGAUUAGAUAUGCUGCUUAUUUAUUACAAUGUGAGACGUUUAAUUGGUACCAA